UGGAUUGCCUUCAAUAAAUACUGAAGAGUUCAUCUUAAAAGACUGUGAUCUGAGUUCACCCUUGAUGAAACUGAGUUGGCUUUAGAGGAGUUGCACCAGGGAACAAUCUGUUCCAGAAUGUGUUUUUACCUGAACUGUGUCAUAGGGUGAUGUAAUGCUAUGGCUGCAGAGGACAACCACUGCAUGGAGAACAGGAAUAAAACUUGUUAUUAAACAGAAGUUAAUAUUUCGGGGGAAGGAUUAUCAAAGCUGCAGGGGAGUGAGGUUGGAUUAAGAAAGCUCAUCCCCAUACAGAAAUGUGUACGCAUCCAAUAGCUUUAGCAACAUGGUACUCUGCUGCUAUGGAUGAAGCAGGGCUGGAUCCCGUUUCACCUGGAGGAGAAUGUGUAUGAAGAUCAUUUGCCAGACAGAAUACAGCAGAGCUCCUGACGGCAGUUCGGUGAUGCUUCAAAGAGUAUUUUAACUGGUUCUUGUUGAGAACUCUUCAUUGUCCAUGAAUUAGCAACACUUUUGAGCGUUCACCACCCCUUCAUUUAAGAACUGGAAAUCACCUCUCUCUCUUGGCCAGUUUCAGAUAUUUCCUUCAGAAUUCAGUUUCUGGGAGUUUUAUAUUCUCUUGAUGACUUUGGAGUCUCAAGGUUAAAGGAGACCCUGUGAGUUAUGACAUUCCUUUUCAACUGUGGGCAUCUAUGAAUCCUCAGUACUCCCUUCCCCUUUAAGGUGGGACACCACAAGAACUCUGGAAGAUUUUUAUCUGGUGUUAUUACUGGAAUCAACAUUAAAAUGACAGCUUCUGCUGCAGUUGAGGGUAGCGAGACGAACGGGCAGCAGUGCAUGUUCUAAGGAGAAAAUUGACUCUUCAUUAUGAAGCAGAACACAUACUACAGUUAAGGAAGACUAAUUCUCAGCAUUUUGAAUCUUCCCUCGCUACCAAAAAAGAGAUCUGUUUUCAGCUGCCUCAUGCAAAAGUUCCAAGCACAGAAGUUUUUAACACAGGCCAGCUGUUUCUGAGGAAUGGAUACUGGUCUGUUCUCCUGUGGAAACCUCUAGAAGAAUGUUCACUGAGGUAUAAUGCAGCUAAGUACCUGGAUAUUAAUUAAGGAUUCAUAUAUAAGCUCAAG